AAAUUCCUACACAUCCUUACCAGCGGCUAUUCACAAUCGGUCCCUAGCCACGAAGUCACUCUGUUCACGACGACAGCGUGUACUCGUUCACAAGUUCUUCGUUCAUUCCUCAGGACCUGCACUACAGACUGCAGAGCCUCAGGAUAUUUCGCUCCCGUUCGCUUGUAGCUGCAGGCACGGGAAUUGGGUGCUACUUGAAUGAGGAAAAGAUUCAAUUGAUUGGAGAGCUUUAUGGGGUUAGGAUGGAUCGGACAAAUUAUCAGGAUUGUUUCUUUAAGUGUUAAUCUGGUGGAACUCAGUACCUCCAUUUGUCAGCUUCACCCACAUGGAGGAACCUAUUGCAAAGCAACUAGGUUUGCUUGCCAUCCUUUUCAUGUUUUGAAAAAUCCAGAAUGAAUAAGCAUCUACAUGGGCCUGCAUGGGUUAUAAAUUUCAGAGGAAGAAGGAAACGUACCAGGAGGUGGCACAGCUGUGACUGCAUUGCAAACAGCGCAACAUACGGAGGUUGCUCCAACUGGAUAGAGUAAAAGGUUUCGACAACCAGAACAUACAAGCUGGCUUUGUGCACCUGAUAAUCAAAAUAGCUUUUAAGUUGAUUGGCGAGCAGGGAAACUCUCUGUUUUGGUGCAAAUUUAUAUUUUCAUUAGUCCAACCUGCCUCUAUGGUUUCUAGGUUGAUGAGAAUCCCAGGAGGUGAAAAUGGCACUGUAGGCCUUGGAUAAGGAGCGAGAGGAACUGGCAUUGUCACUGUCACAGUCACAGAGGAAAAUGAAGAUGGAGAAAGAAUGUCACAGGACGUUAUAGCUAGCAAAUCACUAGGCCCCAUUGAAUUCUUUGCAUCUGUAAUCCACAGAUGCAUUUAUGUUGGUGAGUCACAGAAAAUGAAAUUGAAACACGAGCAAGAGUUGGGGUGAACAGUACUGUUGGAUGAACACAGACCUUUUAGCGGUUGCAGAUGAGAGAGAGAGAGAGAGAGAGAGAGAGAGAGAGAGAGAGAGAGAGGGGUGUUAUGACUUUUAAAGAACAAGAGUAGAUAGAAGAGUUGGUGUAACUAUCAAACAGGAGAGUUUUUACCAUUUUCCUUCUUUUAUC